GAUGAACGCUGGCGGCGUGCCUAAUACAUGCAAGUCGAGCGAACUGAUUAGAAGCUUGCUUCUAUGACGUUAGCGGCGGACGGGUGAGUAACACGUGGGCAACCUGCCUGUAAGACUGGGAUAACUUCGGGAAACCGAAGCUAAUACCGGAUAGGAUCUUCUCCUUCAUGGGAGAUGAUUGAAGGAUGGUUUCGGCUAUCACUUACAGAUGGGCCCGCGGUGCAUUAGCUAGUUGGUGAGGUAACGGCUCACCAAGGCAACGAUGCAUAGCCGACCAGAGAGGGUGGUCGGCCACACUGGGACUGAGACACGGCCCAGACUCCUACGGGAGGCAGCAGUAGGGAAUCUUCCGCAAUGGACGAAAGUCUGACGGAGCAACGCCGCGUGAGUGAUGAAGGCUUUCGGGUCGUAAAACUCUGUUGUUAGGGAAGAACAAGUACAAGAGUAACUGCUUGUACCUUGACGGUACCUAACCAGAAAGCCACGGCUAACUACGUGCCAGCCGCCGCAGUAACAC
rnacentral:rRNA from 1 species